rnacentral:rRNA from 1 species
GGAUUAGAUACCCUGCUAUACUUAAAUUAAAAGUUUUAAACCCGGGUAAUAAACAGUUAUUAUCUUGAAACCCAAAGAGUUUGGCGGUAUCCCAGCCUGGUUAGAGGAGCUUGUUUAGUAAACGAUAACCCCCGAAGAAUCUUACACAUUCUGGCAAACAGUUUAUAUACCGUCGUUAUUAGAUAAUAUCAAAAAGUAAAAAAUUAUCGUGAAAUAAAAAAAAUAUAAUAUAUCAGAUCAAGGUGUAACUAAUGAAUGUGAUAAUAAUGAGCUACAAUUUAAUUAAUAAAACAACGGAACUUGACUUUAAACAGUUAAAAGAAGGUGGAUUUAAUAGUAAUUUUAAAUUUAAUAAGUUAAAAUGAUACUAGCUCUGGGAUAUGUACACAUCGCCCGUCGCUCGCGGGAAAA